rnacentral:rRNA from 1 species
GUGCCAGCCGCCGCGGUAAUACGGGAGUGGCAAGCGUUAUCCGGAAUUAUUGGGCGUAAAGCGUCCGCAGGCGGCCCUACAAGUCUGCUGUUAAAAAGUGGAGCUUAACUCCAUCAUGGCAGUGGAAACUGUUGGGCUUGAGUGUGGUAGGGGCAGAGGGAAUUCCCGGUGUAGCGGUGAAAUGCGUAGAUAUCGGGAAGAACACCAGUGGCGAAGGCGCUCUGCUGGGCCAUCACUGACGCUCAUGGACGAAAGCCAGGGGAGCGAAAGGGAUUAGAUACCCCUGUAGUCCUGGCCGUAAACGAUGAACACUAGGUGUCGGGGGAAUCGACCCCUCCGGUGUCGUAGCCAACGCGUUAAGUGUUCCGCCUGGGGAGUACGCACGCAAGUGUGAAACUCAAAGGAAUUGACGGGGGCCCGCACAAGCGGUGGAGUAUGUGGUUUAAUUCGAUGCAACGCGAAGAACCUUACCAGGGUUUGACAUCCUGCGAAUCUCUUGGAAACUUGAGAGUGCCUUCGGGAGCGCAGUGACAGGUGGUGCAUGGCUGUCGUCAGCUCGCGUCGUGAGAUGUUGGGUUAAGUCCCGCAACGAGCGCAACCCACGUCUUUAGUUGCCAGCAUUUAGUUGGGCACUCUAGAGAGACCGCCGGUGAUAAACCGGAGGAAGGUGUGGAUGACGUCAAGUCAUCAUGCCCCUUACAUCCUGGGCUACACACGUACUACAAUGCUA